rnacentral:piRNA from 1 species
UCCUGAACCUGUCAUUUGAUGCCAUCUC